GGGCGCGUGGCGGAACCGGCAGACGCGCGGGACUUAGGAUCCCGUGGGGAAGCCCGUGGAGGUUCGAAUCCUCUCGCGCCCA
rnacentral:tRNA from 1 species